rnacentral:rRNA from 1 species
AGAGUUUGAUCCUGGCUCAGAUUGAACGCUGGCGGCAUGGCUAAAACAUGCAAGUCGAACGCACCAGCAAUGGUGAGUGGCGAAAGGGUCAGUAAUACGAUCGAACGUGCCCCGAGGUGGAGGAUAGGCAUGGGAAACUGUGCGUAAUACUCCAUGUGAUCUACGGAGGAAAGCCGCAAGGCGCCUUGGGAGCGGCGAUCGUCCUAUCAGGUAGUUGGUGAGGUAAAGGCUCACCAAGCCUAAGACGGGUAGCAGGUGUGAGAGCACGACCUGCGACAUCGGGACCGAGACACUGCCCGGACUCCUACGGGAGGCUGCAGUAACGAAUCUUCCGCAAUGGGCGAAAGCCUGACGGAGCAAUGCCGCGUGCGGGAUGAAGCGGCUUCGCCGUGUAAACCGCUGUCAGGAAGCAGAAACACUGAUCGCUUCCAGAGGAAGGGGCGACUAACUCUGUGCCAGCCGCCGCGGUAAUAC